UGGGGAAUCUUGCGCAAUGGCCGAAAGGCUGACGCAGCGACGCCGCGUGUGGGAUGAAGCAUUUCGGUGUGUAAACCACUGUUGCCCGGGACGAACAGCUUCUUUCGAGGAGCCUGACGGUACCGGGUGAGGAAGCACCGGCUAACUCCGUGCCAGCAGCCGCGGUAAUACGGAGGGUGCGAGCGUUGUCCGGAAUCACUGGGCGUAAAGGGCGCGUAGGUGGCGCGGGCAGUCAACGGUGAAAGUUCGGGGCUCAACCCUGAAUCGGCCGUCGAUACUCCCGGGCUUGAGCACUGUAGAGGCUAAUGGAAUUCCGGGUGUAGCGGUGGAAUGCGUAGAGAUCCGGAAGAACACCGGUGGCGAAGGCGGUUAGCUGGGCAGUUGCUGACACUGAGGCGCGACAGCGUGGGGAGCAAACA
rnacentral:rRNA from 1 species